rnacentral:rRNA from 1 species
ACGGAAGGCAGCAGUGGGGAAUAUUGGACAAUGGGCGAAAGCCUGAUCCAGCGACGCCGCGUGAGUGAAGAAGUAUUUCGGUAUGUAAAGCUCUAUCAGCAGGGAAGAUAAUGACGGUACCUGACUAAGAAGCCCCGGCUAACUACGUGCCAGCAGCCGCGGUAAUACGUAGGGGGCAAGCGUUGUCCGGAAUGAUUGGGCGUAAAGGGCGCGUAGGCGGCCUGUUAAGUCAGAAGUGAAAGUCCUGCUUUCAAGGUGGGAAUUGCUUUUGAUACUGAUGGGCUUGAGUGCAGGAGAGGUUAGUGGAAUUCCCAGUGUAGCGGUGAAAUGCGUAGAGAUUGGGAGGAACACCAGUGGCGAAGGCGACUAACUGGACUGUAACUGACGCUGAGGCGCGAAAGUGUGGGGAGCAAACAGGAUUAGAUACCCUGGUA